ACAUCCGCCCUCCCUGCUGCCUGUGACGUAGAAACGAGUCAGAGCAGCGACGUGUGGGGGGAGGAGUCGCCACCAGGAAUUUCCAGUUUACUUUCAACUUGUGACACAGUGGGCUUUCAGACUUGUGUAGGGGAAAACAACUCUCACAUGACGUGAAGUUUCCUUUUAAGUUAUCAACUAUCCUGACCUGACUACACAGCUUUUUGUUUGUGUUCUGUUUCAUGUCGGUGGAGCUUACAUACAGCCUGCACAUCUGCACUUUUCAAGAUGGAUUUCAAUUCCAUGCUUCUCCGUAUUGAUGAUGGAUUAGGAAGAGAAGAUAUAGAGGCUUUAAAAUUCCUCUGCAGGGAUGUCCUAAGGAAAAAUAAAUUGUUAUCUGUUCAGUCUGGCCAUGAACUUUUUCAGCAACUCAUGACUGAAGAUUUAAUAAAUGAGGAUAAUUAUUUUCUGUUGGGGGAACUUUUAUACAUUAUUAAUCACCACAGCCUUCUCCAUGAUCUUGGCACAAAUAAAGUGGAAGUGCAGAAAGCUCUUCCACAUCACUGGAAAAUAUCACCUUAUAGGCAAAUGCUUUAUGAACUUUCAGAAAAUGUAACUGGAGAAGAUGAAAAGCGUAUACUGUUCAUACUGCCUCUUCAGAAAAAGCAUAAAGAGAACAAGACCUUUCUGGAUGUGUUGUGUCAACUGGAAAAAGAGAACGCCAUUACAGAAGAUAAUGUGAAACUCCUGGAAGAAGUCUUCAGAAAGGUUUCACCUGAUCUAUUGAAAAUAAUUGAAAAAUACAAGGAACGAGGAGAUAAAUUACACCGCCCAGAAAUUGGCUUGAUGCAACCAUCUGCUCCUCCAGACUAUGAGCAUGAAUUAAUAAACCCACAUCUCUCUAUCCAGGUUUCAAGCAAAGAUAAUGAAUCUUGGGAUGAAGGAAUAGAGAGUCUGAUAGAGCAUAAUGGAACAAUACUUGGAGAGGCUGAAAAGGAAGAUGACGAAUCAGGAAACAUUGACCAUCAGCUCUCUGAUCUCAGACUGAAUCCUGAAGUUACACCACAAGCAAGCUUACAGAUGGAAUUGUAUCACAUGAAUCACAAACAUCGAGGUUAUUGCUUGAUUAUUGAUAAUUCCAUUUUCAUGAAGGGUAAAAGAAGAGAAGGGUCAGACAAAGAUGCUGGUGCCCUGAGUGAUGUAUUUUCAUGGCUUGGAUUGGAAGUGGAAAUUGUGAAAAAUCUAGGGACAGAACAGAUUCGUGGUUGUUUAAAGAGGUUUAAAUCCAAAGACCACAGUGAAAGAGACUGUUUUGUUUGCUGUAUUUUGACACAUGGGGAAUCAGGAACAGUUAUGGGAAGUGAUGAUAAAGAAGUAUCCAUCCGUGAAGUUAUGUCCUAUUUCACAGCGACAAGCUGCAUAUCUCUAGCUCUAAAACCAAAGCUGUUUUUUAUACAAGCCUGUCAAGGGAUAUAUACACACCCUUCAUCAAAAGUAGAACCUGAUGCAUCAGUUCCUGUAGAACACAAAAAGUAUAUUGUGAAUGUUCCAAAGGAGGCUGAUUUCCUACUAGGGAUGUCUACAGUUGAUGGUUAUGCUGCAUACCGCCACAAAAAAUAUGGCUCAUGGUACAUUCAGGCCCUUUGCAAGAACCUUGUAGAAAUGGUUCCAAGGGGUGAAGAUAUUCUGUCUAUUCUCACAAAGGUCAACAAAGAUGUUAGCCUAAAGGAAGACAGUGAACAGAAAUUAAAGCAGAUGCCCCAGCCGGCUUAUACUCUGCUGAAGAAACUUAUAUUCCCUGUACCCGAUGUUCCUUUUAGGUCCACAACUUGUCAAGAAAACAGUCCAUAAUCAAUUUAAAUUAUAUUCCGAUGCUUGGAACUAUACAUUGAUGCAAAAGUAACUUUAGCAGCCAUUGUAUUUUCAAUCAUGCGGGGGCGGAUAACUUUUAAAGUCUCUAACCUCAGGGAAAUGCAACUGUCGCAUGUAUUAGUAGGCACUGCAUUCAAUUCUUCCCGAAGAACAUCAUGACAAUUGCUGCAUAUCACACUUAACUCAUAAGGAAAAUUGAUGAUCUCUUUUAUCUGUUAAAGUACUUGAAAGUAGUACUGCUACUUUGUCACUUUUUGAGACAUGUAGUAUUGCCCGACACAGUACAUUUUCUAUUGGCUGCCAAUGGUCAGCACAGCUGGGUAUGAUAUGUGCUACUAUAUUCUGCAGGUGUUAUUAGAGAUAGUCCCUAUGAGAAACCGAGAACAGCAGUGCAACAUGACAGGAAGCAGUUGUAACACGGAAGAAGUUCCAGUAAGAACGAGAACU